UGUUCAUAGUUUGGACAUUGCAUUAGAUUUCCAUUAAAUCUUUCCCAUAUUUCAUACAAAGUCUCUCCAUUCAAUUGCCUAAAUUUUAUGAUCUCAUCCCUCAAUUG